rnacentral:rRNA from 1 species
UACGGGGGGAGCAAGCGUUGUUCGGAUUUACUGGGCGUAAAGGGCGCGUAGGCGGCACUGCAAGUCAGUUGUGAAAUCUCCGGGCUUAACCCGGAAGGGUCAACUGAUACUGCAGGGCUAGAGUGCAGAAGGGGCAACUGGAAUUCUCGGUGUAGCGGUGAAAUGCGUAGAUAUCGAGAGGAACACCUGCGGCGAAGGCGGGUUGCUGGGCUGACACUGACGCUGAGGCGCGAAAGCCAGGGGAGCGAACGGG